rfam:Culex pipiens quinquefasciatus supercont3.5 genomic scaffold, whole genome shotgun sequence.
UGAUCGUACCCGUGGUGUUUAGUCGUAGUGCAUUGGUUUUUAGAACUGUAGUACGGCUAGAACUCCACGGAUAUUGGCG